AUUGAACGCUAGCGGCAGGCUUAACACAUGCAAGUCGAACGAGUGGCGGACGGGUGAGUAAUGUCUGGGAAAGUGACCGCUGGCGGGGGAUAACUCCUGGAAAGGGUAGCUAAUACCGCAUACCCUCGGAGUGGCCCAGAUGGGAUUAGCGAGUAGGUGGGGUAACGGCUCACUUAGGCUACGAUCCCUAGCUGGUCUGAGAGGAUGACCAGCCACACUGGAACUGAGACACGGUCCGGACUCCUACGGGAGGCAGCAGUGGGGAAUAUUGCACAAUGGGCGCAAGCCUGAUGCAGCCAUGCCGCGUGUAUGAAGAAGGCCUUCGGGUUGUAAAGUACGUUCAGCGAGGAGGCGUUACUCGCAGAAGAAGCACCGGCUAACUCCGUGCCAGCAGCCGCGGUAAUAC
rnacentral:rRNA from 1 species